rnacentral:rRNA from 1 species
UACGUAGGGUGCAGGCGUUAAUCGGAAUUACUGGGCGUAAAGCGUGCGAAGGCGGUUUGCUAAGACAGGUGUGAAAUCCCCGGGCUUAACCUGGGAACUGCGCUUGUUACUGGCAAGCUUGAGUGUGGCAGAGGGGGGUGGAAUUCCACGUGUAGCAGUGAAAUGCGUAGAGAUGUGGAGGAACACCGAUGGCGAAGGCAGCCCCCUGGGCUAACACUGACGCUCAUGCACGAAAGCGUGGGGAGCAAACAGG